CCUACGGGUGGCAGCAGUGAGGAAUAUUGGUCAAUGGGCGCGAGCCUGAACCAGCCAAGUCGCGUGAGGGAAGACGGUCCUAUGGAUUGUAAACCUCUUUUGUCGGGGAGCAAAAGACGCCACGCGUGGCGUUCCGAGAGUACCCGAAGAAAAAGCAUUGGCUAAGUCCGGGCCAGGAGCCGCGGGUAUACGGAGGAUGCGAGCGUUUUCCGGGUUUUUUGGGUUUAAAGGGGGCGGAGGCGGAAGGUUAAGUCAGUGGUAAAAUUGAGGGGCUCAACCCCUGCUAGCCGUUGAAACUGGUUUUCUUGAGUGAGCGAGAAGUAUGCGGAAUGCGUGGUGUAGCGGUGAAAUGCAUAGAUAUCACGCAGAACUCCGAUUGCGAAGGCAGCAUACCGGCGCUCAACUGACGCUCAUGCACGAAAGUGUGGGGAUCGAACAGGAUUAGAUACCCCAGUAGUC
rnacentral:rRNA from 1 species